rnacentral:lncRNA from 1 species
UGACCCCAUACUAUGCUCAGCAAGUAGGGCCCUUGUAUUUCUGUGAAUCCUCAUGCAGUACAGUACUGCUGUUGGAAGAGGAGCAAACAGUGUGGUAUGUAUGGUCCACCAUAACUUCAAGCAUCAUGGCUAUGGAGAAAAGAAUGUUUCAUUACAUAUGGACAAUUAUAGUGGACAAAAUAAGAAAAGUGUUGUAAUAAGCUAUGGAAUGUGGCUUGUUAUGAUGGGUCUACAUGAUGACUUGGA